rnacentral:tRNA from 1 species
GACUCUGUAGCUCAGUUGGUUAGAGCGCUGCACCGGAAUCGCAGGGCCGUAGGUUCAAUUCCUACCAGAGGAC